rnacentral:rRNA from 1 species
UUUUGGACAAUGGGCGCAAGCCUGAUCCAGCAAUGCCGCGUGCAGGAAGAAGGCCUUCGGGUUGUAAACUGCUUUUGUACGGAACGAAACGGUCCUGGUUAAUACCUGGGGCUAAUGACGGUACCGUAAGAAUAAGCACCGGCUAACUACGUGCCAGCAGCCGCGGUAAUACGUAGGGUGCAAGCGUUAAUCGGAAUUACUGGGCGUAAAGCGUGCGCAGGCGGUUUUGUAAGACAGGCGUGAAAUCCCCGGGCUUAACCUGGGAGUGGCGCUUGUGACUGCAAAGCUGGAGUGCGGCAGAGGGGGAUGGAAUUCCGCGUGUAGCAGUGAAAUGCGUAGAUAUGCGGAGGAACACCGAGGCGAAGGCAAUCCCCUGGGCCUGCACUGACGCUCAUGCACGAGG